UACGAAGGGGGCUAGCGUUGCUCGGAAUCACUGGGCGUAAAGGGUGCGUAGGCGGGUCUUUAAGUCAGGGGUGAAAUCCUGGAGCUCAACUCCAGAACUGCCUUUGAUACUGAAGAUCUUGAGUUCGGGAGAGGUGAGUGGAACUGCGAGUGUAGAGGUGGAAUUCGUAGAUAUUCGCAAGAACGCCAGUGGCGAAGGCGGCUCACUGGCCCGAUACUGACGCUGAGGCACGAAAGCGUGGGGAGCAAACAGG
rnacentral:rRNA from 1 species